rnacentral:rRNA from 1 species
ACCGCCAGCUAAGGUCCCAAAGUCAUGGUUAAGUGGGAAACGAUGUGGGAAGGCCCAGACAGCCAGGAUGUUGGCUUAGAAGCAGCCAUCAUUUAAAGAAAGCGUAAUAGCUCACUGGUCGAGUCGGCCUGCGCGGAAGAUGUAACGGGGCUAAACCAUGCACCGAAGCUGCGGCAGCGACGCUUAUGCGUUGUUGGGUAGGGGAGCGUUCUGUAAGCCUGUGAAGGUGUACUGUGAGGUAUGCUGGAGGUAUCAGAAGUGCGAAUGCUGACAUAAGUAACGAUAAAGCGGGUGAAAAGCCCGCUCGCCGGAAGACCAAGGGUUCCUGUCCAACGUUAAUCGGGGCAGGGUGAGUCGACCCCUAAGGCGAGGCCGAAAGGCGUAGUCGAUGGGAAACAGGUUAAUAUUCCUGUACUUGGUGUUACUGCGAAGGGGGGACGGAGAAGGCUAUGUUGGCCGGGCGACGGUUGUCCCGGUUUAAGCGUGUAGGCUGGUUUUCCAGGCAAAUCCGGAAAAUCAAGGCCGAGGCGUGAUGACGAGGCACUACGGUGCUGAAGCAACAAAUGCCCUGCUUCCAGGAAAAGCCUCUAAGCAUCAGGUAACAUCAAAUCGUACCCCAAACCGACACAGGUGGUCAGGUAGAGA